rnacentral:tRNA from 1 species
GGGAAGGUGGCUCAGUGGUAGAGCACUUGCCUUGCAUGCAAAAGGACUUAGUUCGAUUUCUCAGCACCCCA